AGCAGCCGCGGUAAUUCCAGCUCCAAUAGCGUAUAUUAAAGUUGUUGCAGUUAAAAAGCUCGUAGUUGAAUUUCGGGACCAAUCUGCCGGUCGUGCCUCCGGUACGCACUGGUUUUAUUGGUUUCUCCCUUCUGGCGAACCAUGAUGUCAUUAAUUUGGUGUCAUGGGGAAUCAGGACUGUUACUUUGAAAAAAUUAGAGUGUUUAUAGCAGGCUCACGCUUGAAUACAUUAGCAUGGAAUAAUGAAAUAGGACGUUUGACCCUAUUUUGUUGGUUUCUAGGAUCGACGUAAUGAUUAAUAGGGAUAGUUGGGGGCAUUAGUAUUCAAUUGUCAGAGGUGAAAUUCUUGGAUUUAUUGAAGACUAACUACUGCGAAAGCAUUUGCCAAGGAUGUUUUCAUUAAUCAAGAACGAAAGUUAGGGGAUCGAAGACGAUCAGAUACCGUCGUAGUCUUAACCAUAAACUAUGCCGACUAGGGAUCGGAUGAUGUUAAUUUUUUUAAUGACUCAUUCGGCGCCUU
rnacentral:rRNA from 1 species